rnacentral:rRNA from 1 species
UGCAAGUCGAGCGCCCCGCAAGGGGAGCGGCGGACGGGUUAGUAACGCGUGGGAACGUGCCCUCUUCUACGGAAUAGCCUCGGGAAACUGAGAUUAAUACCGUAUACGUCCCGUAAGGGAGAAAGAUUUAUCGGAGGAGGAUCGGCCCGCGUUGGAUUAGGUAGUUGGUGAGGUAACGGCUCACCAAGCCGACGAUCCAUAGCUGGUUUGAGAGGAUGAUCAGCAACACUGGGACUGAGACACGGCCCAGACUCCUACGGGAGGCAGCAGUGGGGAAUCUUGGACAAUGGGGGCAACCCUGAUCCAGCCAUGCCGCGUGGACGAUGAAGGCCUUAGGGUUGUAAAGUCCUUUCGCCAGGGAAGAUAAUGACGGUACCUGGUAAAGAAGCCCCGGCUAACUCCGUGCCAGCAGCCGCGGUAAUACGGAGGGGGCUAGCGUUGUUCGGAAUUACUGGGCGUAAAGCGCACGUAGGCGGAUCAGUCAGUCAGGGGUGAAAUCCCGGGGCUCAACCCCGGAACUGCCUUUGAUACUGCUGAUCUGGAGGAUGAGAGAGGCGAGUGGAAUUCCGAGUGUAGAGGUGAAAUUCGUAGAUAUUCGGAGGAACACCAGUGGCGAAGGCGGCUCGCUGGCUCAUUUCUGACGCUGAGGUGCGAAAGCGUGGGGAAGCAACCAGGAUUAGGAUACCCUGGUAGUCCACGCCGUAAACUUAUGAGAGCUAGUCGUCGGGCGGCAUGCCGUUCGGUGACCGCAGCUACGCAUUAAGCUCUCCGCCUGGGGAGUACGCCGCAAGUAACUCAAGAU